rnacentral:rRNA from 1 species
AGGGGAUUAGUGGCGAACGGGUGAGUAACACGUGGGCAAUCUGCCCUGCACUCUGGGACAAGCCCUGGAAACGGGGUCUAAUACCGGAUACUGAUCAUCUUGGGCAUCCUUGGUGAUCGAAAGCUCCGGCGGUGCAGGAUGAGCCCGCGGCCUAUCAGCUUGUUGGUGAGGUAACGGCUCACCAAGGCGACGACGGGUAGCCGGCCUGAGAGGGCGACCGGCCACACUGGGACUGAGACACGGCCCAGACUCCUACGGGAGGCAGCAGUGGGGAAUAUUGCACAAUGGGCGCAAGCCUGAUGCAGCGACGCCGCGUGAGGGAUGACGGCCUUCGGGUUGUAAACCUCUUUCAGCAGGGAAGAAGCGCAAGUGACGGUACCUGCAGAAGAAGCGCCGGCUAACUACGUGCCAGCAGCCGCGGUAAUACGUAGGGCGCGAGCGUUGUCCGGAAUUAUUGGGCGUAAAGAGCUCGUAGGCGGCUUGUCGCGUCGGUUGUGAAAGCCCGGGGCUUAACCCCGGGUCUGCAGUCGAUACGGGCAGGCUAGAGUUCGGUAGGGGAGAUCGGAAUUCCUGGUGUAGCGGUGAAAUGCGCAGAUAUCAGGAGGAACACCGGUGGCGAAGGCGGAUCUCUGGGCCGAUACUGACGCUGAGGAGCGAAAGCGUGGGGAGCGAACAGG